AGGACUUUGAGUCGGUGUAAGUCUAACAUAUAUGUAUCUUUCUGCAGUCUUGUUCUUCGUUUGUUUCGUGUUGUACUAGAACGAUAGUUACGAAUUUCUCCUUGAGCCACACCAUAGCCAUAACCAUGGUGUUUAUCGCAUCACCCAACCACAAAACCCUAGCCAUAGACGUAAACCCUAACACCACCACUCUCCAUCACCUCAAACUAGCAAUCCAACAAACCCUAACCCUUCCAAUUUCUCAACAGCGCCUCUUCCUCUCUCAGAGUCACCGAUUGGCAGUCGCUAAUGACGACGGCGAUGAUUCGGUUCUCAUCUCCGAUCUCGGCGUCGGACCCUACUCAACCGUAACCCUUCACAUUCCCCUCCUCGGUGGCACCAAUCCUCCGGCGGUCCCCAAACCCCGCUUCGAUUUCCUCAACUCCAAGCCUCCUCCCAACUAUGUCGCCGGACUUGGGCGUGGUGCCACUGGCUUCACCACUCGUUCCGAUAUUGGUCCCGCAAGGGCCGCCCCUGACCUCCCCGAUCGCUCCGCCACUACUAUUGGCGGAACCGCCGGCGCCGGACGGGGGCGAGGGAAGCCCGGAGAGGAGGAGGAUGACGACGAGGGCGAGGAUAAAGGCUAUGACGAGAAUCAGAAGUUCGACGAGUUUGAAGGGAACGAUGUCGGAUUGUUCGCCUCUGCGGAAUACGAUGAGGAUGACAAAGAAGCAGAUGCGGUUUGGGAAGCCAUUGACAAGAGGAUGGAUUCACGAAGGAAGGAUAGGAGGGAGGCCAGGUUGAAGCAGGAGAUUGAGAAAUAUCGGGCCUCAAACCCUAAGAUCACCGAGCAGUUUGCUGAUUUGAAGAGGAAAUUGUACACUCUUUCUUCGGAUGAUUGGCAGAGUCUUGAGAAGUUCGAGAGUGGGGGUUAUUCGUCCAGGAACAAGAAGAAGAGGUUUGAGAGUUUUGUGCCUGUGCCUGAUACUCUUCUCGAGAAGGCAAGGCAGGAACAGGAGCAUGUCACAGCGUUGGAUCCUAAGAGUAGGGCUGCUAAUGGAACGGAGACUCCAUGGGCACAAACCCCAGUUACUGAUUUGACUGCCGUGGGUGAGGGUAGAGGUACUGUGUUAUCUUUGAAGUUGGAUAGGCUAUCAGAUUCGGUUUCUGGGAUGACGAAUGUUGACCCCAAGGGGUAUUUGACCGUGCUUAAUAGUAUGAAGAUUACUAGUGAUGCUGAAAUUUCGGAUUUCAAGAAGGCUAGGUUGCUGCUCAAAAGUGUAACUCAGACAAAUCCGAAGCAUCCUCCAGGCUGGAUUGCUGCUGCAAGGCUGGAGGAGUUGGCAGGAAAGCUUCAGGCAGCUAGGCAGUUGAUACAGAAAGGGUGUGAGGAGUGUCCCAAGAACGAGGAUGUGUGGCUGGAGGCUUGUAGACUGGCUAAUCCGGAUGAGGCAAAGGCGGUGAUUGCAAGGGGUGUUAAGUCGAUUCCCAAUUCAGUGAAGUUGUGGAUGCAGGCUGCAAAAUUGGAGCAUGAUGAUGCGAACAGGAGUAGGGUUUUGAGGAAGGGGUUGGAGCACAUUCCUGAUUCGGUUAGGCUGUGGAAGGCCGUUGUGGAGCUUGCUAAUGAGGAGGAUGCUAGGCUUUUGCUUCACAGGGCCGUGGAGUGUUGUCCUUUGCAUGUUGAACUGUGGCUUGCGCUUGCGAGGUUGGAGACUUAUGACAAUGCUAAGAAGGUUCUGAAUAGGGCAAGGGAGAGGCUAUCCAAGGAACCAGCUAUUUGGAUAACAGCUGCGAAGUUGGAAGAAGCUAAUGGCAAUACUUCCAUGGUUGGGAAGAUCAUUGAAAGGGGUAUAAGGGCUUUGCAGAGGGAAGGUUUGGUGAUUGAUAGAGAAGCUUGGAUGAAGGAAGCAGAGGCGGCGGAGCGAGCUGGGUCGGUUGCAACUUGCCAAGCAAUAGUACAUAAUACUAUUGGGAUUGGAGUUGAAGAAGAAGAUAGGAAGAGGACAUGGGUUGCUGAUGCAGAGGAAUGCAAGAAAAGGGGUUCUAUUGAGACUGCUAGAGCUAUAUAUGCUCAUGCUUUGACAGUCUUCUUAACUAAAAAGAGCAUAUGGCUCAAAGCAGCGCAGCUGGAAAAGAGUCACGGUACCAGGGAAUCUCUGGAUGCAUUACUUCGCAAAGCAGUUACUUACAGACCACAGGCUGAGGUUCUUUGGCUUAUGGGUGCCAAAGAGAAGUGGCUUGCUGGAGAUGUGCCUGCAGCUCGUGCUAUCCUCCAAGAAGCUUAUGCUGCCAUUCCCAAUUCUGAGGAAAUAUGGCUUGCUGCUUUCAAGUUAGAAUUUGAAAACCACGAACCUGAGAGAGCUAGGAUGUUGUUGGCUAAAGCUAGAGAAAGAGGAGGUACAGAAAGAGUCUGGAUGAAAUCAGCUAUUGUGGAGAGAGAGCUGGGGAACAUUGAAGAGGAAAGGAGAUUGUUAGACGAAGGUCUGAAGCAAUUCCCUUCAUUCUUUAAAUUGUGGCUCAUGCUUGGCCAACUAGAGGAACAGCUUGCAGAGAAUGCAAAGCGACUUGAUCAGACUGGAAAACGGCUUGAUCACAUGAGGGAAGCAAAGAAGGUCUACGAAUCUGGACUGAAAAACUGUCCAAAUUCUGUACCUCUUUGGCUUUCUCUUGCUAAUCUUGAAGAGGAGAUGAAUGGGCUGAGUAAAGCUCGUGCAGUUCUCACAAUGGCUAGAAAGAAGAAUCCUCAAAACCCUGAACUCUGGCUAGCUGCUGUUAGAGCGGAAUUGAAGCAUGGAUAUAAGAAAGAAGCUGAUAUUUUGAUGGCAAAAGCGUUGCAGGAGUGUCCUAACAGUGGUAUUCUGUGGGCAGCAUCAAUUGAGAUGGUUCCACGUCCACAGCGUAAAACAAAGAGUGUGGAUGCCAUCAAAAAAUGUGACCAUGAUCCCCAUGUUAUUGCUGCUGUGGCCAAAUUAUUUUGGCAUGAUAGGAAGGUGGACAAAGCUAGGACUUGGUUGAACCGGGCUGUGACGCUAGCUCCUGACAUCGGGGAUUUCUGGGCAUUGUGCUACAAAUUUGAACUGCAGCAUGGUACUGAGGAGAACCAGAAGGAUGUAUUGAAGAGAUGUAUUGCUGCUGAACCAAAACAUGGAGAGAAAUGGCAAGCAAUCUCAAAGGCAGUUGAGAACUCUCAUCAACCAACAGAAUCCAUUUUGAAGAAAGUAGUUGUUGCACUUGGGAAGGAAGAGAGUGCAGCCGAGAAUAAUAAACAUUGAUUUGCCGAGGUUGUAACAUCACACUUGAGCUGUGCCAUAAAUGUUUGUGUUUUGAGUGUUCUGUUGGCAAGCUUAUAACAAGCGAACUAAUUUAGCGGUACUUGGAUACGCAAAGGAAACAUCUGGGUAUUUGGGUGCACAAACGAACCUCAAAGCAAGUUAUGUGAAGUUAUUUUUCGUUUUAGUUUUCUGAUACUAAUUUCAUGACAUUCAUUAUUUGUUUGUCACAAUUGAACUGUAGUGAAACUGGUGCAGCUCUUCUGACAAAAAAGAUAACCCGAGUUCCUAAGAACCACGGCAUCAUCAAGGUCAAGUAAGUUGGCCUUUUCUGCCUCCGCUGCUCAGAAAGUCCAUAGACUCUGAAAUCAAAGGCAAUAGCCCGGUAGCCUGCAUUUGCAGCAUUUGUUGUAUGUAUACUUUUGAACUGCACCAAUAGGAUUGUCACUAAAAGUGAAGUUUGAUGAAAAAUCAUUCAACAAUAUUCUGAUAUGGGUGUUCAAGGAAUUACUACCACUUUCAAUCCCAAGAACAUGGAGCUUUAGUCCCUUCACUUCUACGAGACUCUGUUGUUUGGUCUCCGAAUUUAUAUGGGAGAAAAUGGUGUCCGACAAAAGAAGAACCUUACAUAUGUAUGCGCAGAAACCAACAAAUGAAAAUGAAUAUUCAGGCACUAUGUUUUUUCAAAUAGAUACUUUUAUGGCAUUUGAUAAAUCAUACAAAAAACUGAUGUUCAUGUAAUGAAUGUUUAUUAUAAGCUUGCAGAGCAAUUGAUUAAA